rnacentral:rRNA from 1 species
UACUGAGGGUGCAAGCGUUAAUCGGAAUUACUGGGCGUAAAGCGCACGCAGGCGGUCUGUUAAGUCAGAUGUGAAAUCCCCGGGCUUAACCUGGGAACUGCAUUUGAAACUUGCAGGCUUGAGUCUUGUAGAGGGGGGUAGAAUUCCAGGUGUAGCGGUGAAAUGCGUAGAGAUCUGGAGGAAUACCGGUGGCGAAGGCGGCCCCCUGGACAAAGACUGACGCUCAGGUGCGAAAGCGUGGGGAGCAGACAGG